UAAAAUUUAAAAAUGAUCAAUCCAACGAACACAGUAUUCAGAGCAUCAAUUGCAAGACAGUGACUGGACUCAUUAAAAGAAAAAAAGAAAAGAAAAACGCACGCACUAUAAUAAUUCCUUUACUGCUCAGUGACCUGAUUCUUCACAUAAUAAAACUAGCAACAGUUCUGAUCUGCUUCUUCGCAUAAAAGAUAAAAACCAGUGUAACAGUUUCAGCAUCCAAUUUCUUUCCCUCCGGAGUUUCUAUAACCGGAAGCCGGAAGGAACCAACACUUGCUUUGUAGUAGUUCAAAUUUGGUAGAUUUGUAAGUGGCAGUUAUAUAGCUGAACAGAUGAGCAGCAGAAGUCCAAUUGUGGAAAAGAUAUUUUGCUUUGAAGAAGAAACCCAUCUCACGGUUCACAAGACUUCCAUCUUCGUUCCCGGCGGCGGCGAUGGGUUCAUUGUGUAUAAUCCCACCUGGGAAAUGACCUUCCGAGUUGACUCCUACGGUCCAGAUUCUGCCUCUAAAGAUGAACUUGUUCUCAUGGAUUCCUCCGGCAAAUCUCUCGUCACCCUCCUCCGCAAGGUCGGUGCACGUCUACAUCUACUAUUUGAUUAUUCGCCACUUUCCAAUUUUGACAGCUUUACUGUUACUAUUGUUCAAUAUUUUAUCAUUUGAUUAAUUCCCACCCACCCUCGUCAUAAACUUCCACUUUCAGAGGUGCCAAAUAAUUUGUCAUAAUUAUCGAAUACUGCGGUAUUACUCUGUAUUAGUAUCGCGGAAGGCAAUCAUGGGUGAUGGAACGAUUAAAUAAAUCAUAAAACUCAGUCGAUGUAUACACCAGUUGGGCACAGGCAUGAAUCUAGUCUAUUAGCGUAUGCAUUGACGGUUCAAGGACAAUUACCUUACCCAAACGUUUUCUUUUGCCUUUCUCUUGUUUUUGUGUUUGGGGGGGUAAAAAAAUAUGAUUGUGCUGAAUGAAAACUGAUUAUGAGGCGGUGUCUUGUCCAACCACAAGUGAAAGAAUUCUCCAAGCUUAUCGUGAAACAAAUAUUAUGGCUUUGAGCACUGACGAGUGCUUUUUUGUUGGCAAAUGUUAGUCCAAAGUUUUAAUUCCACCACUUAAAUGAGUCGCUCGACAAAUUUUCCAACCAAUCGUCCCCACUUACGGAUUUUCACCGGGUGGAUUUUUUUUUCCCUUAAAAUUUUCACUGAAAUGUUUUUCUUGACCUAUCAAACAAGAUUUGAUUGCCCUUGAUCAUUGAUGAUGCCUUUAGGACGGGUGCACAGUACCUAGCCAAGAACUUCCGAGUUUAGAGUAUCAACUAGGAAUGUUAAUUUGUACCGCAGUUCCCCUUUCAUGUAUAUGGGUCAUGAAGAUUACUACGUUGUCGGCCAAUCGCCUUCAAACUGAAAAAUUGAGUAAUGGCAUUGCGAAUCUUUACUUCUUUAUCUUCAACCCACCGGACAUCGGGCUAGUAACGGUUCCCCUCUCGGCGUGGCCCUAAUUUCAACUGCAUUUAAUGAUGAUGUAUCAUGAAAUGCAAGCACAUUCGUUUCCAGUAGUGUCUUCUUUGUAAAUCACAUUAUUGACAUUUCAUUCCAAUCCCCACCACAUUUUCCUUUUCUCUUCCAAACAUGUUUGGGUUAAAGCGUAGAAACGAAGCCUUCAUCAAAGGUGGGAAGCAUUUUUAGGAGAGAAGAAGAAGGAUGAGCAGCAGCCAGCCUUUAGCAUAUUCAAAUCAUCCAUAAUCGGAAAAUUUGAUCUAUUAGUAGAGGUCUGUGGUCAUGAUCCAGUUUCGGAGUACCACAUCUUUUCUGCAGCGAUCAUGUGCCAUCUACAAUCUGAAAGCAGGUAGCGAGUUGAAAGAACUUGUUGCUGAGAUCAAGAGGAAAGUCGAUCCUGACACAAAUGAGAUGUUGGGAAAGGAUGUUUUCUUGUUGUGCCUUAAACCUUUGGUUGAUGGUGCAUUCAUGAUGGCUUUAAUGCUUGUCCUUGAUCGAAUGGGCGGGGUUGAUAUGGAUGACACUAAUCAGGCUCCUACUACAACUGCGGAAGACACCACUGUCUCUUCUUGAUUUAUCAUUUGUCGCUCUUCAAAAGCAUGGGGUGUAAUCAUCUGACCCUUGCAUGUGCAAUUCAGACCAUUAAAUUCUUCCAAGGUUUCUGAACUUCGUAUUCCAGGUUUUGCAAGGGGAAAAUGUUUUACGGGCAUAUCAUGAACUAUCCACGCUCAAAAUGGAAUUACAUCCUUGGUUGGAGGUAAUAGGGUGGUUCUAGAGGUGGGCUAAAUCUUUCCGCACGUAAAUACAACGAGUAUGCACAAAUUGAUGUGAUUGGCACACACAAUUGAAUAUUGAAAGGCGGCUUCUUUUUUUUUACCUUGGGGAAGUUAUUUCGUAUGAAUGCGUUCAGAUUUUUGUGGGCGCAUUAGCUAGUGGGUUGCUAAAUUUGCACCAAGCAAGGUCUACAAGCGCCUCUCCUGAGCAACUCGGUUGGUCACAGAAAGCCUCUUAAGGUUUUAUUGUCCAUUCUCCCCCACCAGGGAUCGAGUUCCAGUGGUUACCGGUUCAAAGGGAUGAGACCUCUCCUUUCGGGACUCAGGGGGAUUAGUCGGGUCAGACAUAUCCGAAGAAGCCCGGAUACCCCUUGAGCAGAGAAAAAAAAAAAAAAAAGGUCUACAAGCGGUAAUUUGCAACAGGGAAGCAUUGCACCAUUGAUCCUGCUCUUAGCUAAGCUUGACCUAAGUAAGGUGUCAAUUUUAUAGUCGUUUUCAGUGGAUAGUAGCUACCUGAUACGUGCGAGGCAACUGGCAAUUGCAGUAUAGAAGAGAGGGUUGUUAUGACCUGAGUACAAAUUUUUUUUUGAGUACGAUCCUGAAUUACAAUUUUCGCGUCUUUCUUCUGCCACCCCUGUAGACAUCAGGAUAUAUGUAUCUAUCUUCUUUUAACGUAUAAAUAAACAAAUAACUUGAUGGUAUGAGGAUCAAAAAGGAUUAUGUAGAGAAUUUAGUUUAGUCAGUAAAUUGAGGGCUUCAGAGACGCCAAACUUUAAAGGACCGUGGGUGAGGGCGUGCUCUUAUUUCAAGAUCAACCAGCUCUCUCUCAUUCCAUUGCUGUUUGUAAAGCUUACGGUACAGUAUUCAAACGUACUUGUAGUUUC